AGCCCGGCUAAUUGUAUGGCCCCACGUAGGACGUCAGGGCCUGCCCCCUGGGUCCUGACUCCCGGUCUGGGGCUCUACCUCUGCCUCUCCAAGCUCGCCUACAGCGGAAAGCAGGGGUGCUGUUCUAGGCGCUGAGGAUGCAGCCGUGCACAAGACGGAUGAAAUCCCUGCCCUCAGGGGCCGACAUUUGCGGAGUAAAUAAAGGAAAGGCCAACAUGAACAGCUGAUUUGGAUACCAUCAAGACACCUGAAAUUUUAGCAUGAGCCAGAUGCCAAGGAAGAGACUCCGGGAGGAUCCUGAGGACCCCCCGGUUGCAGCCAUGUCGAGGCUGAUGCUGAGGAGGACCCCAACUGUCACAAGCAACACCCGUCGAACACAGCCACCCAGCUGGGGACAGAUCAAGAAGCUGUCACAGAUGAUGGAAGAAAACCUGAGGAAAGCGGGACACCCACUCAGAAUGAGUAAUG